CGAUAAGAUAUUGUGAGAUAAACGAACGAUGAUUUCGUUUUGAGAUCAAACGAAGAGUACUCUCUGUCUCUUGUUGUAGAAAUACAAUUUAUCACAAAUUCAAUUCAAAAAUAUUACUCGUUGCGUUCAAAGAAAUGCCGCCUCGUCAGGACAUUGUGGUGCAGGUGGAGCGAAUCCAGGUGCAGGCGUCGCCUCCCCCUCCCCCUCCACCUGGGAGACUUCAGCGACCCCCUCAUGACCACCCCUCGACCUACAUCGACAGAAAUGUGCGUCAAAGAAACAACACGCAAAGAACGGCGCAAGCUAAUAGCUAAAGAUUUAUUUUUAACUUUUAAGAAUUCGAUUUAAGCUAAGUACAUAAUUGUAAACUAUUUCAAAAAUAUAUUUUUACUUAUUACA